rnacentral:rRNA from 1 species
UACGUAGGGUGCAAGCGUUGUCCGGAAUUAUUGGGCGUAAAGAGCUCGUAGGCGGUUUGUUGCGUCGGCUGUGAAAUCCCGAGGCUCAACCUCGGGUCUGCAGUCGAUACGAGCAAACUAGAGUGUUGCAGGGGAGACUGGAAUUCCUGGUGUAGCGGUGAAAUGCGCAGAUAUCAGGAAGAACACCAAUGGCGAAGGCAGCUCUCUGGGACGGUACUGACGCUGAGGAGCGAAAGCGUGGGGAGCGAACAGG